rfam:Felis catus isolate Cinnamon breed Abyssinian chromosome F1, whole genome shotgun sequence.
GCCUGGGUGGCUCAGUAGGUUGAGCGUUCGAUUUCGGCUCAGGUCAUGAUCUCGCGGUUCGUGGGUUCAAGCCCCACGUUGGGCU